CAUGUUGCCAGCGGGUAAUGCCGGGGACUCGUGAGAGACUGCCGGGGUCAACUCGGAGGAAGGUGGGGAUGACGUCAAGUCAUCAUGCCCCUUAUGUCCAGGGCUUCACACAUGCUACAAUGGCCGGUACAAAGGGCUGCGAUGCCGCAAGGUUAAGCGAAUCCUUUUAAAGCCGGUCUCAGUUCGGAUCGGGGUCUGCAACUCGACCCCGUGAAGUCGGAGUCGCUAGUAAUCGCAGAUCAGCAACGCUGCGGUGAAUACGUUCCCGGGCCUUGUACACACCGCCCGUCACGUCAUGAAAGUCGGUAACACCCGAAGCCAGUGGCCUAACCUUUUGGAGGGAGCUGUCGAAGGUGGGAUCGGCGAUUGGGACGAAGUCGUAACAAGGUAGCCGUACCGGAAGGUGCGGCUGGAUCACCUCCUUUCU
rnacentral:rRNA from 1 species